AUUGAACGCUGGCGGCAUGCUUUACACAUGCAAGUCGAACGGUAACAGGCCGCAAGGUGCUGACGAGUGGCGAACGGGUGAGUAAUGCAUCGGAACGUGCCCAGUCGUGGGGGAUAACUACUCGAAAGAGUAGCUAAUACCGCAUACGAUCUAUGGAUGAAAGCGGGGGACCGUAAGGCCUCGCGCGAUUGGAGCGGCCGAUGUCAGAUUAGGUAGUUGGUGGGGUAAAGGCUCACCAAGCCAACGAUCUGUAGCUGGUCUGAGAGGACAACCAGCCACACUGGGACUGAGACACGGCCCAGACUCCUACGGGAGGCAGCAGUGGGGAAUUUUGGACAAAGGGCGCAAGCCUGAUCCAGCAAUGCCGCGUGCAGGAAGAAGGCCUUCGGGUUGUAAACUGCUUUUGUACGGAACGAAACGGCUCUGGUUAAUACCCGGGGCUAAUGACGGUACCGUAAGAAUAAGCACCGGCUAACUACGUG
rnacentral:rRNA from 1 species